rnacentral:rRNA from 1 species
GAUGAACGCUGGCGGCGUGCCUAAUACAUGCAAGUCGAGCGAACAGACGAGGAGCUUGCUCCUCUGACGUUAGCGGCGGACGGGUGAGUAACACGUGGAUAACCUACCUAUAAGACUGGGAUAAUUUCGGGAAACCGGAGCUAAUACCGGAUAAUAUAUUGAACCGCAUGGUUCAAUAGUGAAAGACGGUUUUGCUGUCACUUAUAGAUGGAUCCGCGCCGCAUUAGCUAGUUGGUAAGGUAACGGCUUACCAAGGCAACGAGGCGUAGCCGACCUGAGAGGGGGAUCGGCCACACUGGAACUGAGACACGGUCCAGACUCCUACGGGAGGCAGCAGUAGGGAAUCUUCCGCAAUGGGCGAAAGCCUGACGGAGCAACGCCGCGUGAGUGAUGAAGGUCUUCGGAUCGUAAAACUCUGUUAUUAGGGAAGAACAAAUGUGUAAGUAACUAUGCACGUCUUGACGGUACCUAAUCAGAAAGCCACGGCUAACUACGUG